GGGGGUCGCCAGUCAAAACCCGUCGUAAGGCGUGGUUCGAUUGGCCCUUCCUAUCUUUGGGUAAUGGCCCGUCGCUUGCGGCGGAUCACCGUUCCCAAUCAUUUACUUUGAAAAAAUUAGAGUGUUCAAAGCAGGCGUAACCUUGCCAUUGAAUAUUACAGCAUGGGAUAAUAGAAUAUGACAUUGGUCUUAUUUUGUUGGUUUCUAAGGCUGAUGUA
rnacentral:rRNA from 1 species